GAUGAACGCUAGCGGCAGGCUUAAUACAUGCAAGUCGAGGGGCAGCAGGACGGUAGCAAUACCGUUGCUGGCGACCGGCAAACGGGUGCGGAACACGUACGCAACCUACCCAUAACUGGUGAAUAGCCCUCCGAAAGGAGGAUUAAUACACCGUAACCUCUUUGAGUGGCAUCACUUGAUGAGUAUAGCUCCGGCGGUUAUGGAUGGGCGUGCGCCUGUUUAGGUAGUUGGCGGGGUAACGGCCCACCAAGCCUGCGAUCAGUAACUGGUGGGAAGGCACGACCAGUAACCCGGGAACUGAGAAAGGGGCCCGACUCCUCCGGGGGGCAGCAGUAAGGAAUAUUGGUCAAUGGACGCAAGUCUGAACCAGCCAUGCCGCGUGAAGGAUGAAGGUCCUCUGGAUUGUAAACUUCUUUUAUAGGGGAAGAAACCUGGAUAUUCCUAUUCAGUUGACGGUACCCUAGGAAUAAGCACCGGCUAACUCCGUGCCAGCAGCCGCCGUAAGAC
rnacentral:rRNA from 1 species